rnacentral:rRNA from 1 species
AACGAACGCUGGCGGCAGGCCUAACACAUGCAAGUCGAACGCUCCGCAAGGAGAGUGGCAGACGGGUGAGUAACACGUGGGAAUCUUCCUAUCGGUACGGAAUAGCUCAGGGAAACUUGAGGUAAUACCGCAUACGCCCUUCGGGGGAAAGAUUUAUCGCCGAUAGAUGAGCCCGCGUCUGAUUAGCUAGUUGGUGGGGUAAUGGCCUACCAAGGCGACGAUCAGUAGCUGGUCUGAGAGGAUGACCAGCCACACUGGGACUGAGACACGGCCCAGACUCCUACGGGAGGCAGCAGUGGGGAAUAUUGGACAAUGGGCGCAAGCCUGAUCCAGCCAUGCCGCGUGAGUGACGAAGGUCUUCGGAUUGUAAAGCUCUUUUGCCAGGGACGAUAAUGACGGUACCUGGAGAAUAAGCCCCGGCUAACUUCGUGCCAGCCGCCGCGGUAAGAC